UAAUACGUAGGGGGCGAGCGUUGUCCGGAUUUACUGGGCGUAAAGGGUGAGUAGGCGGUAAUAUGUGUCAGAUGUAAAAGGCUAUGGCUUAACCAUAGUUGGCAUUUGAAACUGUAUUACUUGAGUGCAGGAGAGGUAAGUGGAAUUCCUAGUGUAGCGGUGAAAUGCGUAGAUAUUAGGAGGAACACCAGUGGCGAAGGCGACUUACUGGACUGUAACUGACGCUGAGUCACGAAAGCGUGGGUAGCAAACAGGAUUAGAUACCCUGGUAGUCCACGCUGUAAACGAUGAGUGCUAGGUGUUGGGUAGCGAUAUUCAGUGCCGAAGUAAACACAAUAAGCACUCCGCCUGGGGAGUACGGUCGCAAGACUGAAACUCAAAGGAAUUGACGG
rnacentral:rRNA from 1 species